AGAGUUUGAUCAUGGCUCAGAUUGAACGCUGGCGGCAUGCUUUACACAUGCAAGUCGAACGGCAGCGCGGGGCAACCUGGCGGCGAGUGGCGUACGGGUGAGUAAUAUAUCGGAACGUACCCAAGAGUGGGGGAUAACGUAGCGAAAGUUACGCUAAUACCGCAUACGAUCUAAGGAUGAAAGCAGGGGAUCUUCGGACCUUGUGCUCCUGGAGCGGCCGAUAUCUGAUUAGCUAGUUGGUGAGGUAAAGGCUCACCAAGGCCACGAUCAGUAGCUGGUCUGAGAGGACGACCAGCCACACUGGAACUGAGACACGGUCCAGACUCCUACGGGAGGCAGCAGUGGGGAAUUUUGGACAAUGGGCGAAAGCCUGAUCCAGCAAUGCCGCGUGAGUGAAGAAGGCCUUCGGGUUGUAAAGCUCUUUUGUCAGGGAAGAAACGGUGAGGGCUAAUAUCCUUCGCUAAUGACGGUACCUGAAGAAUAAGCACCGGCUAACUACGUGCCAGCAGCCGCGGUAAUACGUAGGGUGCAAGCGUUAAUCGGAAUUACUGGGCGUAAAGCGUGCGCAGGCGGUUUUGUAAGUCUGACGUGAAAUCCCCGGGCUCAACCUGGGAAUUGCGUUGGAGACUGCAAGGCUAGAAUCUGGCAGAGGGGGGUAGAAUUCCACGUGUAGCAGUGAAAUGCGUAGAGAUGUGGAGGAACACCGAUGGCGAAGGCAGCCCCCUGGGUCAAGAUUGACGCUCAUGCACGAAAGCGUGGGGAGCAAACAGGAUUAGAUACCCCGGUAGUCC
rnacentral:rRNA from 1 species